UACGAAGGGGGCUAGCGUUGCUCGGAAUCACUGGGCGUAAAGCGCACGUAGGCGGGUCGUUAAGUCGGAGGUGAAAUCCUGGAGCUCAACUCCAGAACUGCCUUCGAUACUGGCGACCUUGAGUCCGGGAGAGGUGAGUGGAACUGCGAGUGUAGAGGUGAAAUUCGUAGAUAUUCGCAAGAACACCAGUGGCGAAGGCGGCUCACUGGCCCGGUACUGACGCUGAGGUGCGAAAGCGUGGGGAGCAAACAGGG
rnacentral:rRNA from 1 species